rnacentral:rRNA from 1 species
GAUGAACGCUGGCGGCGUGCCUAAUACAUGCAAGUCGAGCGAAUGGAUUAAGAGCUUGCUCUUAUGAAGUUAGCGGCGGACGGGUGAGUAACACGUGGGUAACCUGCCCAUAAGACUGGAAUAACUCCGGGAAACCGGGGCUAAUACCGGAUAACAUCUUGAACCGCAUGGUUCGAAAUUGAAAGGCGGCUUCGGCCGUCACUCAUGGAUGGACCCGCGUCGCAUUAGCUAGUUGGUGAGGUAACGGCUCACCAAGGCAGCGAUGCGUAGCCGACCUGGGAGGGUGAUCGGCCACACUGGGACUUAGACACGGCCCAGACUCCUACGGGAGGCAGCAGUAGGGAAUCUUCCGCAAUGGACGAAAGUCUGACGGAGCAACGCCGCGUGAGUGAUGAAGGCUUUCGGGUCGUAAAACUCUGUUGUUAGGGAAGAACAAGUGCUAGUUGAAUAAGCUGGCACCUUGACGGUACCUAACCAGAAAGCCACGGCUAACUACGUGCCAGCCGCCGCAGUAA